CCUACGGGUGGCAGCAGUCGAGAAUUUUUCUCAAUGGGGGCAACCCUGAAGGAGCGACGCCGCGUGGGGGAUGAAGGGUUUCGAUCCGUAAACCCCUGUCAUUUGUGAACAAUGGUUAUUAUUUAAAAGAUGAUGACUUGAUAGUAAUGAAAGAGGAAGGGACGGCUAACUCUGUGCCAGCAGCCGCGGUAAUACAGAGGUCCCGAGCGUUGUUCGGAUUCACUGGGCGUAAAGGGUGCGUAGGUGGUGAGGAAAGUCGGAUGUGAAAGCUCCGGGCUCAACCCGGAAAUGGCAUUGGAAACUACCUUGCUGGAGGAUUGGAGGGGGGACUGGAAUUCUCGGUGUAGCAGUGAAAUGCGUAGAUAUCGAGAGGAACACCAGUGGCGAAGGCGAGUCCCUGGACAAAUCCUGACACUGAGGCACGAAAGCCGGGGGAGCAA
rnacentral:rRNA from 1 species